rnacentral:rRNA from 1 species
UGAAUUUUAAAGGGCCGCGGUAUUCCUGACCGUGCGAAGGUAGCAUAAUCAUUAGUCUUUUAAUUUGAGGCUCGUAUGAAAGGUCGGACGAAGGAUUAGCUGUUUCAGGUAAAUAUUUAGAAUUUAACUUUUAAGUGAAAAGGCUUAAAUAUCCCAAAAAGACGAUAAGACCCUAUAAAUCUUAACAUAAAAAUUCACACUAUCUUUAAUUAUACUUAUAAAAGAAAGAGUGAUAGAUAUGUUCUGUUGGGGCAACAAAGAUAUACAAAAAUAAACUGUUUUCAAAAUCAAACAAAGAUUAUUGACCUACAUCGAUCCUUUUUCAAGAUUAAAAGACUAAGUUACUUUAGGGAUAACAGCGUUAUUCUUUUUGAGAGUUCUCAUCGAAAAAAGAGUUUGCGACCUCGAUGUUGAAUUAAAAAAUCU